AAUCAGAAUUCUCUAUUCUUCUUCUUCUUCUUCUUCGAGAAACGAAAACCAAAAUAGCCAAAAAGUAAUCCUCUUAUCUUCUUCUCCUUCUUGAAAGACUCAACAUUGAAGUAAUAAAGCCGACAAUGGUGACUCUCUGCAACAAAAAAACUUAUCAAUGGUAAGAAUCAAUGGAUUUUUGUGAAUAAUGAUCAGUUCAUCCUCUGUUUUGAGUGACUCAAUCCGUUCGUCUCUACCCCUAAUAAAUUAAAAAUUUCACAGUUAGCAAAGCUAGGAGGAAGUGACAUCGAAGCAGCUAAGAAGGUUCCACGGUUUCAGACUACGCAAAGAGAAUCAUUUGCGAGAGAGAGGAAGAGGAUGAACAAUAUAUGUCUCUCUCAAACCAAAUCCGACUGUUUCGUCGUCAAGAAAUGCUGUGACACGUCACCACCUAUCUACGGCACAGAGAAGGCUCGCAUCUGGGCCUUGGAAAUGGGCUACUCCUUACCACAGUCCAACAAGGCAUGAUUUUCUUCAUUUCUUCUCCUUUUUUUUUUUUAAAUUAAAAAGAUUUUGAUUUCUUUCUCUUCUCUUUUAAAUAAUUUUCAAAUUUAAUUUUCUGAUUUAAAAAAUUAUUUUUUUAUAUAAAAUCUUUCUUUAUCAAAACUAUAUUUUAUACUAAACUAUUUUAAUUUCAUGACAGUUUUUAAUUAAACAAAUUUUUUUCAAUCUCAAAAAUAAUUUAUAAGUGUUAAAUUUUAAUACGUUGAAUACAAACCAAGCUUAGACAUCCAGUCCGUAAGGUUUCCUUUGGUCCGUAAGUUUGGUGUUAUAAGUUCAACAUGAUUUCACGUCGUAAAAGGUUAACACUUAAAAGUUAUUUGAUUUUUUCCUUUUGGUUGCAAAAUAACGUUUUGAAUUUUUAACUAAACAAAAUGUUUUCAAUCUCAAAUAAUUCUUUAAAUGUUCAAUUUUUAUGCGUUGAAAAACAAAUCGAGCUUAGACAUCCAGUCCGUAAGGUUUCCUUUUGGUCCGUAAGUUUGGUGUUAUAAGUUCAACAUGAUUUCACGUGGUAAAAAUUUAACACUUACAAAUUAUUUGAUUUUAUUUUUGCAAAAUAAUGUUUAAAUAUUUCUUUUAUUUUUCUGUAGCUAAAUUUUCUUUUGAUUCUUUUUUCAAUCUCAAAUAAUUUUAAUGUUAAAUUUUAAUGCGUUAAAAACAAAUCGAGCUUAGGCAUCCAGUCCAUUUUGGUCCGUUAGUUUGGUGUUAUAAGUUUAACAUGUUUUCACGUUAUAUAAAUUUAACACUUAAAAAAUUAUUUGAUUUUUUUUUGUAAAAUAAUGUUUUCAAUAUUUUAAUAUAUUUAUUUAAUUAAAUAAAAAAUUUACAAUCUCAAUUAUAUGCUUUAUAGUUUGAUGUUUCAUGUACUGAUAAUGUAUACAUUAAACGAACAUUUUAUUCAAGGAACUUUACUUCUAAAUUCAUACUUCUAAAAAAGAGUUCUGACUUUCUCUUCACUACGUAUGCGAAUGGUUAAACUCUUUAAUAGGUUGAUUUUUGCUUAGUAUCGAACAACAUUAGUAAUUAUGAAAUUUUUCAAAACAAGUAUACUGUGAUUACGACGAAAAUUUCAGCCAAAUGAGUAACAGUUUUGAGUGCGACAUUUACAAAGGAGGAAGCUAUGAACUCUCAUUUGAAUAGGCAUUCUUCCCUUAGAUGUCUCUAUAUUCAUUUUUCUAUCCAAGCAUCAUCUAGCAAACAAGUAUCUCUUUUAAUCUUAAGUUCUUAACUAUUAAUAAUUAAGUCUACAUGCCCCUCCCUUAUACCAAAACCUUUCUCAAAACAACUCUUCAUUCACUUCUUCUUCCUCUUCCCUUCUCCUACACGCUUCACACCCAAAACUAUGCUCUCCUGCCUCAUGUGGCCG
rnacentral:lncRNA from 1 species